UACGAAGGGGGCUAGCGUUGUUCGGAAUUACUGGGCGUAAAGCGCACGUAGGCGGUCAUUUAAGUCAGGGGUGAAAUCCCGGGGCUCAACCCCGGAACUGCCUUUGAUACUGGGUGUCUAGAGUAUGGAAGAGGUGAGUGGAAUUCCGAGUGUAGAGGUGAAAUUCGUAGAUAUUCGGAGGAACACCAGUGGCGAAGGCGGCUCACUGGUCCAUUACUGACGCUGAGGUGCGAAAGCGUGGGGAGCAAACAGG
rnacentral:rRNA from 1 species